rnacentral:rRNA from 1 species
GACGAACGCUGGCGGCGUGCUUAACACAUGCAAGUCGAACGGAAAGGCCCUGCUUUUGUGGGGUGCUCGAGUGGCGAACGGGUGAGUAACACGUGAGUAACCUGCCCUUGACUUUGGGAUAACUUCAGGAAACUGGGGCUAAUACCGGAUAGGAUCUCCUGCUGCACGGUGGGGGUUGGAAAGUUUCGGCGGUUGGGGAUGGACUCGCGGCUUAUCAGCUUGUUGGUGGGGUAGUGGCUUACCAAGGCUUUGACGGGUAGCCGGCCUGAGAGGGUGACCGGCCACAUUGGGACUGAGAGACGGAGCAGAAUCGUACGGGAGGCAGCAGUGGGGAAUAUUGCACAAUGGGCGGAAGCCUGAUGCAGAGACGCUGCGUGCGGGAUGACGGCCUUCGGGUUGUAAACCGCUUUCGCCUGUGACGAAGCGUGAGUGACGGUAAUGGGUAAAGAAGCACCGGCUAACUACGUG